rnacentral:ribozyme from 14 species
GAAGGAGCGAAGGAGAAGAAAGCAAGCAAGCAAACGAAAAACUGAGGAACACUUUGCCUGCUUCUUUCUUUUGUGUUCGAAGUGGUGGUGCACUUGCACUUGCACUUGCUAGCAUGCUUGCUUGUGCCUGCUGGUACAAAGAGGAGCUGAAGGAAGUCGUCAGGAAGUGAAAUAAGAUAGGAUCAAAACCUGCCAAUCGAUCUUUCAUCUUUUUUUGUUUGUUUGUUUAUCUCUCAUCAU